GUUGACCUCGAAUCAGGUAGGAAUACCCGCUGAACUUAAGAAU
rnacentral:rRNA from 1 species